GAAGGGAGUCUUCGGAGAAAUUUAUCUUGAAAAUAAAAAGAGAGUGUUCGACCCACUCACCCUUCU
rnacentral:tRNA from 1 species